UUUACACUGAUCUGUGUUUGUGUUUGAUGGAUUUCGAGUCUGGCUAUAAACUGUGACUGGACCACUGAGUAUGACAUGCUGUCCUUUGGGUGAGUAUCCCAAAGUACCAUGUCCAGAGAAUAACACUGAAAGAGUGUGAGAAAUGUUCAACAGCUGUUUCGGCUAAGGACAAACAUUUCUGCAAAGAUAAUCACUUAUAUUUUGAUGACAAAUGUGUUAAUUGUAAGACCAGGGAAAGAUAUCCAUCUCCAGAGAACACUUGGCCUACAAUGAUGCUUAGGACAGCACUUGUAAAUCCAUUACAAAGUGUGUUGGUGGUGAAAUCUUCCCUGGAAACCAGACCCACAAUGCAAGAUGUGUCUCUUCUGGUUGGCACAUUUUACUACUGUCAUAUACAACACUGUCAUUAUGGGGUUCAUAUGCUUGUUGACCACGAAUUUCCAUUCAUAUCCCAUGUUUGUAACUAAAGAAUUUAACCCUAUCAUUUAAAUAUACCCUAACAACAAUAAUCAUGUUUAUUAUACUAUCUGUUCCUUAUACUAUCUGUAUAAUGUUUUUAAUUUAAUGGAUAAAAAAAUAAAAAAGAU